CGUGGAAACUAACAAGGAUUCCCCUAGUAACGGCGAGUGAACCGGGAAGAGCUCAAAUUUGAAAUCUGGCGUGCUCAGUGCGUCCGAGUUGUAAUCUAUAGAGUCGUUUUCCGUGCCGGACUGUGUCCAAGUCCCUUGGAACAGGGUAUCAAAGAGGGUGAUAAUCCCGUACUUGACACAAUGACCGGUGCUCUGUGAUACGUCUUCUACGAGUCGAGUUGUUUGGGAAUGCAGCUCAAAAUGGGUGGUGAGUUCCAUCUAAAGCUAAAUAUUGGCGAGAGACCGAUAGCGAACAAGUACCGUGAGGGAAAGAUGAAAAGCACUUUGGAAAGAGAGUUAAACAGUACGUGAAAUUGUUAAAAGGGAAACGAUUGAAGUCAGUCGUGACUGAGAGGCUCAGCCGGUUCUGCCGGUGUAUUCCCCUCAGUCGGGUCAACAUCAGUUUUGUUCGGUGGAUAAGGGCAGUUGGAAGGUGGCACCCUCGGGUGUGUUAUAGCCGGCUGUCGCAUACAUCGGAUGAGACUGAGGAAUGCAGCUCGCCU
rnacentral:rRNA from 1 species